UACUAAUGCAACUGCGAAUAGCUGUUUAAUACAGUCGCAAUUGUAUUGACUUAGCAUAUAUAGAAAAUAAUAAUAGUUAUAUUUGGAUAACUAAGGGAAAGUUUGGCUAAUACGUUUUUUGUAUUAAUAAUACAUAUGCAUAUAAUAAUAUUGCAACAUGAUAGAUAUUAUAUAAAUAAUAAAUAGUAUUUAUUUAGUAUAGAGUGGACUUUAUAAUAUAUUAUAUAAUUAUAAAGCAUGUCAAACAAGCAUCUAUAGCAUCAAGUCACAAUGUUGGCAUGUGUAUUAUUGAACCUUCAAAGCAUUUACGCAUUCGGAGGAGUAGUUUCUGAUCCCGUCGAAGGUGCCUGAGAGACGGCACUUAGUUCUAAGGAACGCAGCAGGCGCGUAAAUUGCCCAAUGACAAAACAUGUUAUGUUAUUAUUAAACUUAAUAUAUUAUAUAUUGAGGCAGUGACAAGCUGUAAAGAUUCAAUAUAUUAAUUAAGAUAACAUUUGGAAUUGUCCCUUUAUAAUAUUUUAUAUUAUUUUGGUUGAUAAUAUACCAAUGUUAUAAAAUAUUGAAUUUGAAUGCGGUGAAUAUAAUAAUUUCAAGUAACAUGUAUAAAAUGUUUUAAUUUUAUAUGUUAUUCGAAUUUUCAAGUGGAGGGCAAGUCUGGUGCCAGCAGCCGCGGUAAUACCAGCUCCACUAGCUUAUACAAUCAUUGUUGCGGUUAAGAGGCUCGUAGUUGGAUUGAAUAAAAUAUAUUAUAUAUAAUAUACAAUACUGUGAACAAACCAGAGUGUAUAAAACAUGUAAUAUUUUUAAUUAUUAGCAAUGAAUGUUUUAUCAUGGGAUAUUGCUAAUAUAUGUCGAUGGAGAUAGUUGGAGUUAAGAGUACUGAUAGGCGAGCGGUGAAAUGCAUUGACCCUAUNAAGACUAACAAAAGCGAAGGCACUUAACUAGAUUAUUCUCUUUNUAUUAUUACAAUGAAGAGCGAAGGUUGGGGGAACAAAGAGGAUCAGAUACCCUCGUAGUCCUAUUUUUUACAUCAAACUAUGGGAUUUCAAUUGAAUAAAUUAUUCUCUCAACUAAUAAUUAAAAAUGAUUGAGUGUAAUUAUUUAAUAUACUCUCAUUUAUAAUUAUACAUGUUGAUAUUACACACUAUGAUUAUAUGUACUUUGGGCUCAUAUAAUUAUAUAGGUGAGAUGUAAGCAUUAUAGAUGAUUAAUAUAUUUACUACAUAUUGUAAAUAUUAUUAUAAUUCUAAAUAAAAAUGUAAUGUGAUGCACGUUUUAGGUACGAGCUUACUAUAGAAAUAUUUAAAAUAAUACCCUCCUGGGGNAGUAUGCACGCAAGUGUGAAACUUGAAGGNNNNNNNNNAAGGGCACCACAAGAACGCGUGGAGCAUGUGGCUUAAUUUGACUCAACGCGGGAAAUCUUACCAGGUCCAGACAUAUUGAGGAUUGACAGGCGAUAGUAUAUAUUAUAUAUUAUAUAUAAUAUAUGCAUAAAAAUGAUAGUCCUUUCAUGAUUAUAUGAUAGGUGGUGCAUGGCCGUUCUUAGUUCGUGGAGUGAUUUGUCUGCUUAAUUGCGUUUCAGUUAAAUAAAAUAUAUAAUAUACAUUAAUAUUUUAGUUCUGCCAGCAAUGGAUUUAAAGUGAACAUAUUAUUGUUAUUAAUAUAUAAUAAAUGAAUGCAACGAACGUGACCGUAACCUUUUAUUGCUAUAAUAAUUAUUAAUAUAGCUUAAAAUUAAAGGGACCGCUGUCAUUAUUAUAUGUGUUAAAAUAGAGUAAGAUUACGGCAAUAACAGGUCUGUGAUGCCCUCAGAUGUUCUGGGCUGCACACGUGCUACAAUAAUUACAUUAAUAAGUAUAUAUAUUAAUAUAACAUCAUGUAUGUUAUACACUUAAACCUAUUUCGAAAGUAAAUGGGUAAUCAUUUAAAAAUCGUGAUUAUAUUUAAUUUAAGGUGGGGAUAGUGUAUUGUUAAUUAUUACACUUGGCCUUAACUAGGAAUGCCUUGUACUCUUCUUUGGUUUAACAUACCAAGAGGAAUACGUCCCUGCCCUUUGUACACACCGCCUGUCGCUCUUACCGAUGAAUUAUAUUAUAAAUCUAAGGGAUAUAAAACUCUAGGGUAUAUCAAACUUAUAUACAUAAUGUGAUUUAAAGGAAAGAGAAGUCGUAACAAGGCAUCAGUAGGUGAACCU
rnacentral:rRNA from 1 species